CGACAAAGUUCGUCAAGACUGCAGGAUCCAAUCGGCCAUCAUCUGCUUCUGCUACACCUUCCACUCCACGGGGCGCCUCGACAAGGUUCCAGUCCCCACAAGCAGCCAUGGAUCCUGGGAUGUCCUUCAUGGAGCUUCUGGCCAGCGUCGCCGGAUCUGCUCCGACGGCGUGCGGAAGAUCUGGUUUAUAUAUGACGCAGAUCUGGAACAGGGAGAUCAGAAGACUGAAGAUGAAAUCGAUUUCUGAACCAGCAUUUUUCUACUAAUGGCCAGCAUCCUGUAAUUGAUGGCAGUGGCACUACAUAUGAGCUCCCGAGUAAGAACCAUGGGCAGCCUCCUGUGUUUUUUGGUAGUUGUCCAGGAGCUCAAUAAUGGGUGCUGUGAAUCAGAUAUUCAGAUGACGGAUGCACGUCCAGUGAGGAGGGAGACAGAAGUGAUACCACAAGUCGCCGGCUGGAUCUGGUGAUGGAGAUGUGGACGAAAAUGGACAGUUUGGAUGUGCAGAUUUCCCCCACACUCACACUCGCAUCUCACUAGCGAUGCAGUGAAGCUGGUGGCGAAGAGUCGCACGCCGUCGAUGUUCAAGAGAGUCCUCCGGUCUCAUCUUACGAACGACGGUAAGCACGGGUCAUCAUAUCUUUUUCCUUUUAUCGUCUGAAUGCUGCCAUCGACGAACCAGAAUGGCAAUAUACAAGUUGCAAGGACAUUGGGAUGUAAACAAUUAAUAAUGCAUCCAGUAAAUCUACAUGCUGCUGUAAGAGA